AGGUCGUAACAAGGUUUCCGUAGGUGAACCUGCGGAAGGAUCAUUAACCUUUCAAAACAGGGUGCGUCGCGGCCCCCGACGGUGCGGGAAAUCAAGCCGAACUAGCCGAGGCGGGUUUCGGGGGUUUGGCCUCCCCCUUCCUACGCGCGCACGACUGCCAUCCUUACUUUACGAGCACCUUCUGUUCUCCCUCGGCGGGGCAACCUGCCGUUGGAACCGAAUAAACUCUUUUUGCAUCUAGCAUUACCUGUUCCGAAACGAACAAUCGUUACAA
rnacentral:misc_RNA from 1 species